ensembl:lncRNA
AGGAUGCUUAAAGGCACAGUGCACUCAAAACCUUUAUGACUUUCUUCUAUGGAACCAUGGAAAACUGGUAGUACAGAACUGGUAAUGUGGAAAUGUUUCAGUGGAGUGGAUUGUCUUAAACCAUUUUAAGUGAGGAAAUUCCUUCUGCCACAAACUCAAAUCUCAACAAGCCUCAGUUAGCCUAUAAUUAGAAAAUGUCAUUUUAGAACUAGAAUUAAAGGAACACUGAAUUGCUUCAUUGAAGUUAAAAGCUUACUACAUUAUAGAGUAUUAUGAGAAAGAGAUGGACUGAUCAAGUGUGAUUAUCUGCAUUUGAUACAGUGUUCAUUCUUUAGGUUAUUCUCAUAAUCAUAAUUAAAAUAUUGUUUGAAUGUCUGCUGAGAAAAGUGAUAUAUUUAUCAUAGUAUCCUUUCAACUGUUAAGGGGAUUUCCCAUGCUGGUCAAUGCAUUUGUAGGUUGCAUACAAGGUGCUGAAAGUAAAAUACUGUACUUGUUUACAACCUUGUUUCAUUCCCUUUCAAAAUGAUAGGCUUUGCUACUAAUCCACUCAUAAAACAGUUGCUUGUCACCAUCUAAUGGAAUGUAACCACAGUCACCAUAACUAACACGCAGACUGCUUCUCAAUACCAAAUACUAUUAUUAAAAACUACUAUUUAUAUAAAAUAAUAUUUAUUGAACAAUAAUAUUUAAUAAACAAGUUGCUAAAUAAUUUAGUUAAAAGUACAAGCACUAUCUUUAUUAAUAAACCAUAUAUUUGAAAUUUAAACAACUACGUUGUUUCCUUAAAAACGAUUGAAACCUGUAAUGGCCUUCCCCUUUAAUUUGUUUUGCUUGGCGUCACCACUAGAUGGCGAAAUAUACUUAUUGCAUAUAAGGGAGAGGAAACAAAGCAAGAGUAUUUUCACGUUUGUUCUUGAUCUAACAAGCUCGAGAAAAUGGUUCUUUUGUACUAUUUGUUUAAUUUAAAAUGUUAAAUGUGUAGUGAAUGUUUGUUUGGUUGUUUAUAUUGUGAAUGUUGAUUGUCUAUUUUGCUUUAUUUAUGUAUUGUUUUUUGUUUUCUUUGUAGUUUUACGGUGCCACCAUGCUGUGAUACAAUUGUUAUGGUGCUAUGAAGUUAAUGUGUAAACACAGUGUUGUGAUGUAUGGAGAACAUUUGCAACAAAGAAUUGAGACAACGAUCACUUCAGCAAUGAAGUUUAUUGCAUCUUAAAAUAAAUCGAAGGCACCCGUCGAAAACUCUCUGUUUCUUUUCUAUGAAACUGAAGGGCCGCUGCUACACAUGAGGUUUCAUUGUGUUGCUGUUGUUUCAUCGCGUGAGUGGGACACUGGACUUUGCAUCUAAAGCGCUGAUUGAAUCACGUCACGUCACGUCACAGGAGACGGAUACUUCAUCAGGAUUGUAAAAUUACACAGUCAGUUGGAGCGCGGCUCAUUCACGAACGUUUGGAUGGUGAUCGUAUAUCAACGUUACCGUUACAGAUGAAAAGGUAAACUUUCAGUAAAAGAACGUUACAUGAAGUAAGACUGCAAAUACAACUUUCUGGACUGUGUGAGUUGAAAUCUUUACAAUUAAAGACCCUUUAGAUGUUUAAAAAAUAUUUUGAAUUUUAUAGAGAAUUGAAGUGCAAGAUAUGAAGUUGAAUGAGUUAUGAAAUAUUGAUUUAAGACGUUGAAGUUAUUGAUUUGAGUCUGAUUUUAUAAGUUAUUGACUGCCACAGGUAAACGCUGGGGUUUAUAUUUAUGGUAGCCUAUAUGUUACAAGCAUGUAUAUAAUGUUGAAUGUCAAAGAAUUUGUGAUCAUGUUGCAUAUAUAAUUUGACUUAUUACCAUCGCUGAUUAUUUGAGUGUCUAAAUUAUAGAUGUCUGAUAUGAGUAAUUCAUUGCUC